CAGUCGCCACGGGAAUACAGAGGGUGCGAGCGUUAAUCGGAUUUACUGGGCGUAAAGCGUGCGUAGGCGGCUUCUUAAGUCGGAUGUGAAAUCCCUGAGCUUAACUUAGGAAUUGCAUUCGAUACUGGGAAGCUAGAGUAUGGGAGAGGAUGGUAGAAUUCCAGGUGUAGCGGUGAAAUGCGUAGAGAUCUGGAGGAAUACCGAUGGCGAAGGCAGCCAUCUGGCCUAAUACUGACGCUGAGGUACGAAAGCAUGGGGAGCAAACAGGAUUAGAUACCCCCGUAGUCCCUGUAUCUUAUAC
rnacentral:rRNA from 1 species